ACGGCAGUCCGUUCUAUCGCUGUGGGUAACACCACAGAGGAAAGUCCGGGCAACACAGGGCACCGUACUUCCUAACAGGAAGGCAUGGUAUGCGUAAGUGUAUCAUGACAGAAAGUGUCACAGAAACCAAACCGUCCGGAGGUCACACUCCGGAUAAGGGUGAAACAGCGGGGUAAGAGCCCACUCGUUCCGGUGCGAGCCGGGAUUGGGAUAAACCUUACGGGUUGAAAGGCCAAAUAAACCCGGCAUGUGGGCUGCCCGUCCACGUUACUGGCAUAGCCAGUAUGGCCGGGAGGGUAGGCUGAUUGAGCCUGGCUGUGAGGUCAGGCCCAGAUAAAUGAUAGAAUAUCUGUGCCGCGCAAGUGGCAUGGAUAACAGAACCCGGCUUACAGGACUGCCAUUUUU
rnacentral:RNase_P_RNA from 1 species